GCUCGUAGAAGCGGCGGCCGGCGGGGGCGCUCGGGGUCCGGGCCUGGAUCUUUCCGCCGCCCGUCACCAUCCCGUCGGCCCUCCAGCAGCAGCGGGGCGCUGUGGGGAGGGACGUUGGGGGACGGAGGGGUGAGGCAACGUUGGGAGCGGGGGUGAGGCAACGUUGGGAGCGGGGGUGAGGCAACGUUGGGAGCGGAGUGUGAUUCUGGAGUGAGAAAGGGAUAUCAGAUUGUGCAGAAUAAUUCUGCACUUUACAAGAUUGAUAUGAUCCGAUUGAAACAAGGUUGUGAGGGCUCAGAUGAAUAUAGGAUCUGUGAUGAAACAAAUGAUGAGUAAUAUGGAAUCGUACUUGCAAAGAAUGCUACAUUUGGAGUGAUCGCAGAAUUCCUGGAAACCAUUAUUUGGUUUUUACUUUAUUGAAUUAAACAAAAACAGUGAAGUUGGUAUUAAAAUUGAAAUAGAAUCAAAUCUAUAUUUAUCGUUUAUACAGUCUGUCUUGGAUUAUAAAUUGACGCUGUCGUGUUUGCUUACCAUUAACCGGUAUUCGUUACUUUUCAGAGUUGAGACUGCUUAGAAAGAGUAGAAUGCUUUGUUCACCAUUUUUUCUCUUUCAGUUUGAGGAUAACUUGAUUUAAUAUGAUAGUAAUUCGCUUUGAAGCAAAUUACCUGCCAUUAAACUUUAUAUAAGUAUUCUAGUUUAAUAACUCAAACAGAAUCUGGUGGCUGUACGAUUUAAGUGGAUUUCAGUGUUGUAAGUUUAUUUAUCUAUGUUAGUGUUCCAGGGCCUAGCCAGUUUUCAAUGCUGAAUAGAUUCAUACUUCCUAUGACUGAGCAGAUGAAACUUUUUUUUUUAUUACCUUUUGAAGCUAGAGUAGAGCUUGUUUGAAGACUUCAUUGAUGUCCAUUUUUCUAAUUUGAAAGUGCUUACCUUAAAAAAAAAUUACAUGGCUUUUUCCAAAAAUGGGAUUGGGUCUGUUUCAAUCUGAGAAAGGAUUGUUGUAAAUUAUGUUUUUAGGAAAGUAUGAAAUAGAAGUAGGAGGGGGCUUUCAGCCCCUUUUGGCCUGUUCUGACAUUCUGUGAGAUCACGGUUGACCUUUUAUCUCAGGGACACUUUUCUGCAUUCACAAAUAGUUCUUGAUUCCUUUAAUAUCCAAAAACAAAAUCAGUCUCUCGAAUAUAAGCAAUUGAGCCUCCAGAACUCUCUUGGGUAGAGAAGCCUUUCUGCAUUCACCUCUCAAUCCACAUUGCCACCUGGCUUAGUACUAUCAGCAAACUUGAAUAUAUUGCAGUUGGUCCCCUCAUCACGCACUGACCCCUGCAGCACCCCACUGUCACAUAUUUUUUCCCCACUGUACUGUCUGUCAACUAAUACUCAGUUCAUGCCAGUAAUCAUCCCAAAUCUCAUAUGUUCUAAUUUUGUUUGAUAACCUCUGAUAUGGCAUCUUUUUGAAGGCCUUCAAGUUUGAAUGCACCAUAUCAACUUGUUUACACUUAUUGUCUUCAUUACAACCUCAAACAAAAAACCCAACAGAGCAACACAAUGGCACUGCAGGUAGUGACUGCUAUCUCAGACCUCCAGUCUCCUGGGUUCAAUUCAGACCUCCAAUGCUAUCUGUGUGGAGGUUGCACAUUCUCCCAUGACGUUGUGGGUUUACCCCAGGGAAUCCAGUUUUCUCCAAAAUACCAAAGAUAUGCUGACUGUUAGGUUAAUUGGCUCCUGUAAAUUGCCCCUAGUGUAGGUGGGUGAAUUGGAGUUCGUGUUAAGAGUACAGGGUUGUUGGGGCAGAGUGGGGGGAGAUAAUGAGAAUGAUGGGAUUGCUCUGAGAGCCAGUAUAGAUUCUGACAGGGUAUUGGCAAGAAAUAUGAAUAAAUCCAUGCUUACUCUUAAAUCUUGUUAUUUACUAAGUGGUUUACCAGCACUUCAAUACGUUUCCAGCAUUUUCCUUACAGUUAUCAGGCUAAUUCAUAUGUAGUCCUGUGAUCUCUCCCUUUUUUUAAAAUAGUGUGUUUACAUAUGCUACUUUUCACUCUAGAACUAUUUUCCAAUAUAUUUUGGUAUUUAUAUAAAAUAGUUGUGAGAUAAUAGCCUUUAAUGCACAAGUUCUAGCAGAGAAAACAAAAGUUGUUAUACUUGAUUGCUUAUUUGUCAGCUUUUGAAUGUCCUUUAUUUAGCAGAAAUUGGAACCUUGAACAACUGUUUUCAUCUGAACCUUAUUAAUUCAGUUUGGUUCUUCUGUUAAAUUUCACUGUAUUUGAUUAAUUGUAUAUUAUUAAUUGUUUAAUAUUGUUAGAUCAACUUAUUCUGGAAUGGGCUGUUAAUGUUUUCCACAGAAAAAUGUAAGCCAAGAAAAUUGUAUAUUAAUAAAACAGCACCUAAUUCUCUAAUUU